rnacentral:rRNA from 1 species
GGGGCACCUGAUCUAGCCAUGCCGCGUGAGUGAUGAAGGCCCUAGGGUCGUAAAGCUCUUUCGCCAGGGAUGAUAAUGACAGUACCUGGUAAAGAAACCCCGGCUAACUCCGUGCCAGCAGCCGCGGUAAUACGGAGGGGGUUAGCGUUGUUCGGAAUUACUGGGCGUAAAGCGCGCGUAGGCGGAUCAGAAAGUUGGGGGUGAAAUCCCGGGGCUCAACCCCGGAACUGCCUCCAAAACUCCUGGUCUUGAGUUCGAGAGAGGUGAGUGGAAUUCCGAGUGUAGAGGUGAAAUUCGUAGAUAUUCGGAGGAACACCAGUGGCGAAGGCGGCUCACUGGCUCGAUACUGACGCUGAGGUGCGAAAGUGUGGGGAGCAAACAGGAUUAGAUACCCCCGGUAGUCA